GGGAAUUGUAAAAAGAAGCGGAAAUCAGAGGAAGCCUUGCAGUGUGUGAGCUGUACCCCAGGUGAUCCCACUGAUAUCAGGACAUCUCUGUACAUUUUUCCGGUACCACAUCUCUCAGGGGUAUCACAGACUCCGUCCAUCUAUGCAACCCAAUUCUAAGGACAUCCUGGCUUCAAAAAGCAACGGAGUGAAAGAUAGUUCGUGGAAGUGGAGGGAGAGUCUAUUGUCAACAUAGAAACAAAUGAGAACUUACCUUAACUUUCAGCACGCCCUACAAACUAGAACAUCUCUUCAUUCUCAACACACGCUACAUACUCAGUCUUCUCAGAGCAGCAAUCCAGGUGCAGACACUGGAGAAAGGGAGGACAUGCUUGUUCUAAGAUAAGUGGAUGCCUCUCCCCUAUCUUCAGUGAACAACCCAGCGCUCCAAUAAAAAGCAAACUUAUCUAAAAUAGUGGUUCUCAACCUUCCUAAUACUGUGACCCUUGAUGCAGUGUUGUGAUUAUCUCCAAGUAUAAAGUUAUACUCAUUGCUACUUCAGAACUGCAAUUUUGCCACUAUUUUGACACGUAAUAUAAAUAUCUGAUAUGCAGAUGGUCUUAGGAGAUCCCAGUGAAAGGAUUGUUCAACACCCCCCCCCCCACACACACACACACAAGAGAGGCCAUGACCCACAGGCUGAGAACCACUAAUCUAAAGCUGACACAUGACAGGACUGUCAGAUUCUUAUGAAAACAAACUCAAGCAUACUGACUGACUUCAGCAUAUUAGAGACAUCAUCAAGUCCUCCUUUUUGUAUUAGGCUAUUUAACUAUAGUUAUGCCAUCUCCUGAUAGUAGUCUAUGAAUACUUUAGGUGUUAAGCCUAUCUUGGGUAAAACUGGUCUCUGAUCACUUAGACCAGCCCUAAAUUCCCAUACAAUGAUGACCCUGAGCUAAAUGUCAACUACCUGGCCAUUCAACUACUAUCUCUCAGCUUCUGUACAAUUCUUAGUUGCUGUGGAUUUCCAGAGCUGCCUUUCUGUAUAUGGCACAAUUGUAAGUUUUACCCUUAAAAACUGGAAACAACUAGAGGUCAAGGCUGUUUGCCACAACAAUCUGCUUGGGACAGUCCCACUGGUAGUUAAUAAAGACUCCAUCCACU
ensembl:lincRNA 4933440J02Rik RIKEN cDNA 4933440J02 gene